rnacentral:rRNA from 1 species
UAGAGUUUGAUCCUGGGUCAGAACGAACGCUGGCGGCAGGCUUAACACAUGCAAGUCGAGCGCCCCGCAAGGGGAGCGGCAGACGGGUGAGUAACGCGUGGGAAUCUACCCAUCUCUACGGAAUAACGCAUGGAAACGUGUGCUAAUACCGUAUACGUCCUUCGGGAGAAAGAUUUAUCGGAGAUGGAUGAGCCCGCGUUGGAUUAGCUAGUUGGUGGGGUAAAGGCCUACCAAGGCGACGAUCCAUAGCUGGUCUGAGAGGAUGAUCAGCCACACUGGGACUGAGACACGGCCCAGACUCCUACGGGAGGCAGCAGUGGGGAAUAUUGGACAAUGGGCGCAAGCCUGAUCCAGCCAUGCCGCGUGAGUGAUGAAGGUCCUAGGGUUGUAAAGCUCUUUCACCGGUGAAGAUAAUG